UAAAACCUCACCUCAACUCACCUCAGUAUCUCCUCGCCGAUUUGUCUCUCCUCCCACAUCCGUCGCCUAAAUCCCAAAUCUACCCACACCAGUCGUCAUUCCUCUCAGUCAUCACUCCUCACCUGAAGCGCGCCUUUACCCACUGUCCUUACCAUCCGAAUUCGGCUCCUAAAUCUAGCUUUUGGUCUCAUUCCGCACUCCUCCUCACUGCAAAAGGUAAAAAAUUCCUGCAAUAAACUCAACCAAAGUUCAUAUAAAUUGUUUGAUUCCAAAUUCGAUUAGAAAAUUUGAAUUUGGGUUUCUGAAUUAGGAAUUUCUGAAAUUAGGGUUUCUGAAUUAGGGCUUUUGGAAUUAGUGAUUUUGAAUCGAUGGAGAGGUUGCAGAGGGAAUAUGAGAGGUUAAAGGGGGGAUGAGGGAACCUGACUUAAAUGUUUUCUGAAAUACCUUUUGCAAUCAGAGCUUUUUUCGUAAAUUUUGGCGAGGUACUGAGGUAGGUACCCCAUUCGUUCUUUUCGUAAAAUUUUCAAAUGGAUUUUAGUGAGGUACUCAGGUACCCCAUUCAUUCUUUUCGUAAAUUUUGUCACUGCAGUUGAUUUGGGGUUAUUCAUAUUAAUAUAUGCUGCACCAGUUCCAUAAUUUUAUAAAAAUGGAAGCUCGAUUAAUUAAUAAGUUUUUAUAAUUAUUCUUAGCAUAUUUAAUUGUGUGUGAUUCUGUAAUUUAAAUUUAUUGGAAUGGAUGAGGUUAUAAAAUGG
rnacentral:lncRNA from 1 species